rnacentral:rRNA from 1 species
GAUGAACGCUGGCGGCGUGCCUAAUACAUGCAAGUCGAGCGAACAGACGAGGAGCUUGCUCCUCUGACGUUAGCGGCGGACGUGUGAGUAACACGUGGAUAACCUACCUAUAAGACUGGGAUAACUUCGGGAAACCGGAGCUAAUACCGGAUAAUAUAUUGAACCGCAUGGUUCAAUAGUGAAAGACGGUUUUGCUGUCACUUAUAGAUGGAUCCGCGCCGCAUUAGCUAGUUGGUAAGGUAACGGCUUACCAAGGCAACGAUGCGUAGCCGACCUGAGAGGGUGAUCGGCCACACUGAACUGAGACACGGUCCAGACUCCUACGGGAGGCAGCAGUAGGGAAUCUUCCGCAAAGGGCGAAAGCCUGACGGAGCAACGCCGCGUGAGUGAUGAAGGUCUUCGGAUCGUAAAACUCUGUUAUUAGGGAAGAACAAAUGUGUAAGUAACUAUGCACGUCUUGACGGUACCUAAUCAGAAAGCCACGGCUAACUACGUG